GCAAGUCGAGGGGUAACAGGAGAGCUUGCUCUCGCUGACGACCGGCGCACGGGUGAGUAACGCGUAUGCAACCUACCCAUAACUGGGGGAUAGCUUCCGGAAACGGAAAUUAAUACCCCAUAGUAUUAUAAUACCGCAUGGUAUAAUAAUUAAAGUUCCGACGGUUAUGGAUGGGCAUGCGUGCCAUUAGUUUGUUGGUGAGGUAACGGCUCACCAAGGCUAUGAUGGUUAUGGGGUCUAAAAGGAUGGUCCCACACACUGGUACUGAGACACGGACCAGACUCCUACGGGAGGCAGCAGUGAGGAAUAUUGGUCAAUGGGCGCAAGCCUGAACCAGCCAUGCCGCGUGCAGGAAGACGGCCCUAUGGGUUGUAAACUGCUUUUAUAUAGGAAGAAAAUGCUCUACAUGUAGAGCACUGACGGUACUAUAUGAAUAAGCACCGGCUAACUCCGUGCCAGCAGCCGCGGUAAUACGGAGGGUGCAAGCGUUAUCCGGAUUUAUUAGGUUUAAAGGGUGCGUAGGCGGAAACUUAAGUCAGUGGUAAAAGGCAGCAGCUAACUGUAGAACUGCCAUUGAUACUGAAGGCCUUGAGUAUAGUUGAGGUAGGCGGAAUGUGUAAUGUAGCGGUGAAAUGCUUAGAUAUUACACAGAACACCGAUUGCGUAGGCAGCUUACUAAGCUAUAACUGACGCUGAUGCACGAAAGCGGGGGGAGCGAACAGGAUUAGAUACCCUGGUAGUCCACGCCGUAAACGAUGAUCACUCGUUGUUGGCGAUUCAUCGUCAGCGACUAAGCGAAAGCAUUAAGUAAUCCACCUGGGGAGUACGUUCGCAAGAAUGAAACUCAAAGGAAUUGACGGGGGCCCGCACAAGCGGAGGAACAUGUGGUUUAAUUCGAUGAUACGCGAGGAACCUUACCUGGGCUUAAAUGUAGAGUGCAUUAUUUGGAAACAGAUAUUUCCUUCGGGACUCUUUACAAGGUGCUGCAUGGUUGUCGUCAGCUCGUGCCGUGAGGUGUCGGGUUAAGUCCCAUAACGAGCGCAACCCUCAUUGCCAGUUGCCAUCACGUAAAGGUGGGGACUCUGGUGAAACUGCCGGUGUAAACCGCGAGGAAGGUGGGGAUGACGUCAAAUCAGCACGGCCCUUAUGUCCAGGGCUACACACGUGUUACAAUGGCCAAUACAAUGGGCAGCCACCUGGCAACAGGGAGCAAAUCCACAAAAUUGGUCUUAGUUCGGAUCGGAGUCUGCAACUCGACUCCGUGAAGCUGGAUUCGCUAGUAAUCGUACAUCAGCAAUGGUACGGUGAAUACGUUCCCGGGCCUUGUACACACCGCCCGUCAAGCCAUGGAAGUUGGGGGUGCCUGAAGUCCGUAACCGCAAGGAUCG
rnacentral:rRNA from 1 species